rnacentral:lncRNA from 1 species
CCUUCCCAAUAUUCCCCAUCCCCCGUGUCCCCCGUUCCUGGUGUCCCCCAUUUCCUUUGUACCCCCAUUCCCGUUAUCCCGUUGUUAUCCCAUUGUCUCCCCAUUCCCAUCAUCCCCAUUCCUCUUAUCCCAUUCCCAGUGUUCUGUUAUCCCGCUGUUAUCCCGUUAUCCCACUCCCAUCAUCUCAUUGCUAUCCCAUCCCUGAUCCCCAUUAUCCCAUUCCUGCUUUUCCUCAUUGCUGUCCCGCUGUCAUCCCAUCCUUGUUAUCCCAUCGCUAUCCCAUUAUCCCAUCAUUAUCCUGUUAUCUCAUUCCCAUUGUCCUGUUAUCCCAUUAUCCCAUCACUGUCCUGUUAUCCCAUCCCCAUUAUCCCGUUAUCCCCAUUAUCCCACACCAUUAUCUCAUUUUCGUUAUCCCGUAUCCCACUGCUAUCCCAUUAUCCCAGUCCCAUUUUCCCGUUAUUCCAUCGCUAUCCCGUUAUCCCACUCCUGCUAUCCCAGCCCCGCUAUCCCACCCCUGUUAUCCCAAUUCUGUCCCGUUAUCCCACUGCUAUCCUGUUAUCCCGUUAUCUCACUGCUAUCCCAUUAUCCCGUUAUCCCAUCACUGUCCCGUUAUGCCAUCUCCGUUAUCCCAUCCCCGUAAUACCACCCCCGUUAUUCCAACCCCAUUAUCCCAUUGCUGUCCCGUUAUCUCAUUCCCGUUAUCCCAUUCCCGUUAUUCCAGUCCUGUUUAUACCGUUAGUCCAUUAUCCUGUUAUCCCAUCCCUGUUAUCCCAUCCCCAUUAUCCCACCCCUGUUAUCCCGUUAUCCCAUUCCCGUUAUCCCACUGCUAUCCCAUGAUCCCGUUAUCCCGUUAUCCCCAUCCAGCGGCGCCGCCGCCGGGUCGGUACCGUGGGCAGCCCGGGCGGGGUCCCGGUCCCGGUGCCGGUGCCGCGGUGGCGGCAGAGACUCAGGCGGCAGUGCAGGAACUGCAGCGGCUCCGGGAACCGCGCCGGGAGCACGAACGAGCCCCGGAGGCGCCGCCGCGCCCGC